rnacentral:rRNA from 1 species
UGAGGAAUCUUGCACAAUGGGGGAAACCCUGAUGCAGCAACGCCGCGUGGAGGAAGACGGUCUUCGGAUUGUAAACUCCUUUUGUUUGGGACGAACAUUGACGGUACCAAACGAAUAAGAGGUGGCUAACUACGUGCCAGCAGCCGCGGUAAUACGUAGACCUCGAGCGUUAUCCGGAUUUACUGGGCGUAAAGCGUGCGUAGGCGUCUCGUUAAGUCUCCGGUGAAAGCCUCCGGCCCAACUGGAGAACUGUCGGAGAUACUAACGGGAUUGAGUGUGACAGAGGCAGACGGAAUUCCUGGUGUAGCGGUAAAAUGCGUUGAUAUCAGGAGGAACACCGAUGGCGAAGGCAGUCUGCUGGGUCAUCACUGACGCUGAGGUACGAAAGCGUGGGUAGCGAACGG